rnacentral:rRNA from 1 species
CCUACGGGUGGCAGCAGUGGGGAAUCUUGCGCAAUGGGCGAAAGCCUGACGCAGCAACGCCGCGUGUGGGAAGACGGCCUUCGGGUUGUAAACCACUUUCAGGGGGGACGAAGCUUCCAGGGUUAAUAGCCCAUGGGGUGACGGUACCCUCAGAAGAAGCCCCGGCUAACUACGUGCCAGCAGCCGCGGUAAUACGUAGGGGGCGAGCGUUGUCCGGAAUCAUUGGGGGUAAAGCGGUAGGAGGCGGGUGAAACUUUGGGGCUCAACCCCAAGCCUGCACUGGAUACUGUCGAGCUUGAGUCCGGGAGGGGAGAGCGGAAUUCCUAGUGUAGCGGUGAAAUGCGCAGAUAUUAGGAAGAACACCGGUGGCGAAGGCGGCUCUCUGGAACGGUACUGACGCUGAGACGCGAAAGCGUGGGGAGCGAACAGGAUUAGAUACCCUGGUAGUC